UACAGAGGGGGCAAGCGUUAUUCGGAAUUAUUGGGCGUAAAGGGCGCGUAGGCGGCUUGGCAAGUGGAUGGUGAAAUCCCUCGGCUUAACCGAGGAACUGCCGUCCAAACUGCUUCGCUUGAGACCGGGAGAGGUGAGUGGAAUUCCCAGUGUAGCGGUGAAAAUGCGUAGAUAUCUGGAGGAACACCGGUGGCGAAGGCGACAUCCUGGACCGGUAUUGACGCUGAGGCGCGAAAGCGUGGGGAACGAACAGG
rnacentral:rRNA from 1 species